GUGACCUCCGCUUCCGACCCUCCGGGGCUAAGGUCCUGGGGUCACGUGGCUAAGAUGCGUGGGUGCCUAGGGCAGCGGCCCUGCGCAAGCACGGUGGAAACGCGUGGAGUCCGACUGCGCGUGGUAGACCCAGGGGCGGAGUCAGUGACCCGUUACCAGUCCCAGGGCGUUGCCUUGGCGACAGUGUCAGUUACUGGGUGCUCCCCUCCCCUUCCCCGGCAAUGAGGUCGGUGACUGGGUCCCUCUCUCCUCCUCUGCCCCACCGACGGGGUCAGUGACUGGGGCCCUCUCUGCCCCUCCCCCACAGACGUGGCAGGCUUUCCAUCGAAGCAUUAGAGUCUGUGCUUUUCAAGGGUGGGAAUGAGACUGGUGAGAGUGCUCAGGUAGCAGAGAACAUGGAGUCUUUUUGAAAACCCCCAGACUCACCACGAGGGAGUGUGUCUGCUGGUGAGUGUUCUGCUAAGAUCUGGACUAAUAACACCUGAGAUCAUACAGCGCCUCCUCCCCUGGGUGAAUUCCCCAACAGAAAACCGCUGAGUCACUAGCACAGCUUUCCUUGUCCAGCUAAUGAGUGAUCCCAUGCUCAGGGAGAAGAAGUUCCUUAAGUCUGUCUUACACAUCUUGGAAGGAAGGUCACAUGAUAGGAACAGCAUUAUAGACUCAUAGACUUUAAGGUCAGAAGGGACCAUUAUGGUCAUCUAGUCUGACCUCCUGCAAUGCAGGCCACAGAAUCUCACCCACCCACUCCUGUAACAAACCCCUAACCUAUG